rnacentral:rRNA from 4 species
UCUAAACGACUCUCGGCAACGGAUAUCUCGCGUCUCGCAUCGAUGAAGAACGUAGCGAAAUGCGAUACUUGGUGUGAAUUGCAGAAUCCCGUGAACCAUCGAGUCUUGAACGCAAGUUGCGCCCAAAGCCAUUAGGCCGAGGGCACGUCUGCCUGGGCGUCA